rnacentral:rRNA from 1 species
AACGAACGCUGGCGGCGUGCCCAAUACAUGCAAGUCGAGCGGGACUCUUCGGAGUCCAGCGGCGGACGGGUGAGUAACACGUGGGCAACCUGCCUGUAAGACUGGGAUAACACCGGGAAACCGGUGCUAAUACCGGAUAAUCCUUUCCCUCACAUGAGGGGAAGCUGAAAGACGGUUUCGGCUGUCACUUACAGAUGGGCCCGGGGCCACUUAGCUAGUUGGGGAGGUAACGGCUCACCAAGGCGACGAUGCGUAGCCGACCUGAGCGGGGGAUCGGCCACACUGGGACUGAGACACGGCCCAGACUCCUACGGGAGGCAGCAGUAGGGAAUCUUCCGCAAUGGACGAAAGUCUGACGGAGCAACGCCGCGUGAGCGAUGAAGGCCUUCGGGUCGUAAAGCUCUGUUGUCAGGGAAGAAUAAGUAUCGGAGUAACUGCCGGUACCUUGACGGUACCUGACCAGAAAGCCACGGCUAACUACGUGCCAGCCGCCGCCGUAA